UACGUAGGGGGCAAGCGUUGUCCGGAUUUAUUGGGCGUAAAGAGCGUGUAGGCGGUCAUGUAGGUCCGUUGUGAAAACUCGAGCUCAACCUCGAGACGCCGAUGGAAACCAUGUGACUAGAGUCCGGAAGAGGAGAGUGGAAUUCCUGGUGUAGCGGUGAAAUGCGCAGAUAUCAGGAAGAACACCCGUGGCUAAGGCGGCUCUCUAGUACGGUACUGCGCUGAGACGCGAAAGCGUGGGGAGCGAACAGG
rnacentral:rRNA from 1 species